rnacentral:rRNA from 1 species
UACGUAGGGUGCGAGCGUUGUCCGGAAUACUGGGCGUAAAGCGUGCGCAGGCGGUUAUGUAAGACAGAUGUGAAAUGCCCGGGCUUAACCUGGGAACUGCAUUUGUGACUGCAUGGCUAGAGUUUGGCAGAGGGGGGGUGAGAAUUCCACGUGUGAGCAGUGAAAUGCGUAGAUAUGUGGAGGAACACCGAUGGCGAAGGCAGCCCCCUGGGUCAAGACUGACGCUCAUGCACGAAAGCGUGGGGAGCAAACAGG